AUGGAAGGGGAAUACUAUGAUUCCCUGGUCGCACGAUUUGGCGAACAAGGAUCCCUCAUCGAAGGAUUCGGGAGGGAAACCGAAGGUCCGGACGCAUAUCGGACACAGCUUCGUCAGCGGAUGUCCCAGGAUUUCCUGUUGAGGAACCUGGAAGAGCGGAGGCGAGCCGCCGACGAUGUAUGCAGUGACCCAGCCUCUAAAAAGGCCAUGUUGGGUCUGCAGGUGCUGACCGUGGGAGAAGCAAGGGAACAGGACUGCGCCGUAUGCCUCGAGGAAUUCGUCGACGGCGGCAAGAAGCUCAGGAUGAUGCCCUGCUACCACUCCUUCCAUCAGCGAUGCAUCUUCGACUGGCUUCGCCUUAACCGCAUCUGCCCUGUCUGCCGCUUCGCGCUGGCCCCACAGUCAGACGACGACAGCAACAAGGAUCUGGGACUGCCUGAGAAAGUCGAAUAG
rnacentral:rRNA from 1 species